rnacentral:rRNA from 1 species
CGCGUAGGUGGUUAGGUAAGCAAGAUGUGAAAGCCCCGGGCUUAACCUGGGAACGGCAUUUCGAACUGUCUGACUAGAGUAUGGUAGAGGGUAGUGGAAUUUCCUGUGUAGCGGUGAAAUGCGUAGAUAUAGGAAGGAACACCAGUGGCGAAGGCGGCUACCUGGACCAAUACUGACACCGAGGUGCGAAAGCGUGGGGAGCAAACA